CCGCCUCAGCCUCCCAAAGUGCUGGGAUUACAGCUGUAGAAGACUUAGAUCAUUAUAAGAUGAAAGAAGAGCCUAUGAGUGGGAAACAGGUGGAGGAUGAAGGAACUGAAAAAGAAAAUUGGGCAAUAUUAAAGAAAAUUAGGAAGACUGAAAGGCUCCAGUGGUCCUCCUGCCUCAGCUUCCCA